UUAAGUUAGAAAGGGCGCACGGUGGAUGCCUUGACACUAGGAGUCGAUGAAGGACGGGACUAACGCCGAUAUGCUUCGGGGAGCUGUAAGUAAGCUUUGAUCCGAAGAUUUCCGAAUGGGGAAACCCACUAUACGUAAUGGUAUGGUAUCCUUACCUGAAUACAUAGGGUAUGGAAGACAGACCCAGGGAACUGAAACAUCUAAGUACCUGGAGGAAGAGAAAGCAAAUGCGAUUUCCUGAGUAGCGGCGAGCGAAACGGAACAUAGCCCAAACCAAGAGGCUUGCCUCUUGGGGUUGUAGGACAUUCUAUACGGAGUUACAAAGGAACGAGGUAGACGAAGCGACCUGGAAAGGUCCGUCGUAGAGGGUAACAACCCCGUAGUCGAAACUUCGUUCUCUCUUGAAUGUAUCCUGAGUACGGCGGAACACGUGAAAUUCCGUCGGAAUCUGGGAGGACCAUCUCCCAAGGCUAAAUACUCCCUAGUGAUCGAUAGUGAACCAGUACCGUGAGGGAAAGGUGAAAAGCACCCCGGAAGGGGAGUGAAAGAGAUCCUGAAACCGUGUGCCUACAAAUAGUCAGAGCCCGUUAAUGGGUGAUGGCGUGCCUUUUGUAGAAUGAACCGGCGAGUUACGAUCCCGUGCGAGGUUAAGCUGAAGAGGCGGAGCCGCAGCGAAAGCGAGUCUGAAUAGGGCGUUUAGUACGUGGUCGUAGACCCGAAACCAGGUGAUCUACCCAUGUCCAGGGUGAAGUUCAGGUAACACUGAAUGGAGGCCCGAACCCACGCACGUUGAAAAGUGCGGGGAUGAGGUGUGGGUAGCGGAGAAAUUCCAAUCGAACCUGGAGAUAGCUGGUUCUCCCCGAAAUAGCUUUAGGGCUAGCCUUAAGUGUAAGAGUCUUGGAGGUAGAGCACUGAUUGAACUAGGGGUCCUCAUCGGAUUACCGAAUUCAGUCAAACUCCGAAUGCCAAUGACUUAUCCUUAGGAGUCAGACUGCGAGUGAUAAGAUCCGUAGUCAAGAGGGAAACAGCCCAGAUCGCCAGCUAAGGUCCCAAAGUGUGUAUUAAGUGGAAAAGGAUGUGGAGUUGCUUAGACAACUAGGAUGUUGGCUUAGAAGCAGCCACCAUUUAAAGAGUGCGUAAUAGCUCACUAGUCGAGUGACUCUGCGCCGAAAAUGUACCGGGGCUAAAUACACCACCGAAGCUGCGAAUUGAUACCAAUGGUAUCAGUGGUAGGGGAGCGUUCUAAGUGCAGUGAAGUCAGACCGGAAGGACUGGUGGAGCGCUUAGAAGUGAGAAUGCCGGUAUGAGUAGCGAAAGACGGGUGAGAAUCCCGUCCACCGAAUGCCUAAGGUUUCCUGAGGAAGGCUCGUCCGCUCAGGGUUAGUCAGGACCUAAGCCGAGGCCGACAGGCGUAGGCGAUGGACAACAGGUUGAUAUUCCUGUACCACCUCUUUAUCGUUUGAGCAAUGGAGGGACGCAGAAGGAUAGAAGAAGCGUGCGAUUGGUUGUGCACGUCCAAGCAGUUAGGCUGAUAAGUAGGCAAAUCCGCUUAUCGUAAAGGCUGAGCUGUGAUGGGGAAGCUCCUUAUGGAGCGAAGUCUUUGAUUCCCCGCUGCCAAGAAAAGCUUCUAGCGAGAUAAAAGGUGCCUGUACCGCAAACCGACACAGGUAGGCGAGGAGAGAAUCCUAAGGUGUGCGAGAGAACUCUGGUUAAGGAACUCGGCAAAAUGACCCCGUAACUUCGGGAGAAGGGGUGCUUUCUUAACGGAAAGCCGCAGUGAAUAGGCCCAAGCGACUGUUUAGCAAAAACACAGCUCUCUGCGAAGCCGUAAGGCGAAGUAUAGGGGGUGACACCUGCCCGGUGCUGGAAGGUUAAGGAGAGGGGUUAGCGUAAGCGAAGCUCUGAACUGAAGCCCCAGUAAACGGCGGCCGUAACUAUAACGGUCCUAAGGUAGCGAAAUUCCUUGUCGGGUAAGUUCCGACCCGCACGAAAGGUGUAACGAUUUGGGCACUGUCUCAACCAGAGACUCGGUGAAAUUAUAGUACCUGUGAAGAUGCAGGUUACCCGCGACAGGACGGAAAGACCCCGUGGAGCUUUACUGUAGCCUGAUAUUGAAUUUUGGUACAGUUUGUACAGGAUAGGCGGGAGCCAUUGAAACCGGAGCGCUAGCUUCGGUGGAGGCGCUGGUGGGAUACCGCCCUGACUGUAUUGAAAUUCUAACCUACGGGUCUUAUCGACCCGGGAGACAGUGUCAGGUGGGCAGUUUGACUGGGGCGGUCGCCUCCUA
rnacentral:rRNA from 1 species